GUAUUUAGCUGGACUGCUGGUGUCAUGUAUUCGACUCUUUUCACCAUGCCGUACCUCCUAGUCGCCCAUUACCACGCUAGCGGAACGGUUGUUACU